GCAUUCCUACGUGCCCCGAGGUCAGGGAUAGCCCCAGGGAAACUUGGAGUAAAACCUGAAUGUGAUCUCCGGAUCAAAGAUUUAUCGCCUCGGGAGCGGGGAAUGUCCUAUCAGCUAGUUGGUGAGGUAACGGCUCACCAAGGCAAAGACGGGUAGCGGGUGUGAGAGCACGACCCGCCGCAUCGGAAUUGAGACACUGUCCGGACUCCUACGGGAGGCUGCAGUAACGAAUCUUCCGCAAUGCACGAAAGUGUGACGGAGCAAUGCCGCGUGCAGGAUGAAGCCUUUCGGGGUGUAAACUGCUGUCAGGGGUCACCAACACAAUGAGGAGCCCCAAAGGAAGAGGCGACUAACUCUGUGCCAGCAGUCGCGGUAAUACAGAGGCCUCGAGCGUUAAUCGGAAUCACUGGGCUUAAAGCGUACGUAGGCGGGCGCGCAGGCAUCUUGUGAAAUCCCACGGCUCAACCGUGGAAUUGCUUGGUGAACCGCGCGUCUAGAGUCAGGUAGGGGCCGCCGGAACGAUAGGUGGAGCGGUGAAAUGCGUUGAUAUCUAUCGGAACGCCAAAGGUGAAGACAGGCGGCUGGGCCUGCACUGACGCUGAGGUACGAAAGCGUGGGGAGCAAACGGGAUUAGAUACCCCGGUAGUCCACGCCGUAAACGAUGUGCACUGGAUCGAGGGGGUUCUGACGCCGCCCUUGGUCGAAGCGAAAGCGUUGAGUGCACCGCUGGGGAGUACGGUCGCAAGGCUAAAACUCAAAGGAAUUGACGGGGGCUCACACAAGCGGUGGAGCAUGUGGUUCAAUUUGAAGCAACGCGAAGAACCUUACCUGGGUUUGACAUGCACGGAUUAACUCCUGGAAACAGGAGCCACGCCCGCAAGGGUGGAACGUGCACAGGUGCUGCAUGGCUGUCGUCAGCUCGUGCUGUGAAGUGUCGGGUUAAGUCCCUUAACGAGCGCAACCCCUAUCACUAGUUGCCAGCGCGUCAUGGCGGGGACUAUAGUGAGACUGCCGGCGUCAAGUCGGACGAAGGUGGGGAUGACGUCAAGUCCGCAUGGCCUUUAUGCCCAGGGCUACACACGUGCUACAAUGGCGACCACAAAGCGACGCAAUACCGCAAGGUGGAGCAAAUCGCAAAAAAGUCGCCCCAGUUCAGAUUGCAGGCUGCAACCCGCCUGCAUAAGUUGGAAUCGCUAGAAUCGGGGAUCAGUACGCCCCGGUAAUAGUCUUAGCUUU
rnacentral:rRNA from 1 species